GACGUAGGGCGCGAGCGUUUGUCCGGAUUUAUUGGGCGUAAAGAGCUCGUAGGCGGCUUGUCGCGUCGACUGUGAAAUCCCGCGGCUCAACCGCGGGUCUGCAGUCGAUACGGGCAGGCUAGAGUUCGGUAGGGGAGACUGGAAUUCCUGGUGUAGCGGUGAAAUGCGCAGAUAUCAGGAGGAACACCGAUGGCGAAGGCAGGUCUCUGGGCCGUAACUGACGCUGAGGAGCGAAAGCAUGGGGAGCGAACAGG
rnacentral:rRNA from 1 species